rnacentral:rRNA from 1 species
ACUGCUCAGUAACACGUAGAUAAUUUGCCCUUAGGUGGAGGAUACCCUCGGGAAACUGAGAAUAAUACUCCAUAGAUCUAGACUGCUGGAAUGCUUUUAGAUUGAAAGAUUUAUCGCCUAAGGAUAAGUCUGCGGACUAUCAGGUUGUAGUCAGGGUAACUACCUGACUAGCCUACGACGGAUACGGGUUGUGAGAGCACUAGCCCGGAGAUGAUAUCUGAGACACGAUAUCAGGCCCUACGGGGCGCAGCAGGCGCGAAAACUUCGCACUGUGCGAAAGCACGACGAGGGAAUCCCAAGUGCUGGCUCGUAAGAGUCAGCUGUUUCUUUGUCUAAAAAACAGAGAGAGUAAGAGCUGGGUAAGACGGGUGCCAGCCGCCGCGGUAAUACCUGCAGCUCAAGUGGUGGCCGCUAUUAUUGGGCCUAAAACGUCCGUAGCCGGUUCUAUAAAUGCCUGGGUAAAUCGUACGGCUUAACCGUACGAAUUCCGGGUAGACUGUUCAACUUGGGACCGGGAGAGGCUAGAGGUACUCCUGGGGUAGAGGUGAAAUUCUGUAAUCCUAGGGGGACCACCAGUGGCGAAGGCGUCUAGCUAGAACGGGUCUGACGGUGAGGGACGAAGCCCUGGGGAGCAAACGGGAUUAGAUACCCCGGUAGUCCAGGGUGUAAACGCUGCUCGCUUGAUGUUAGUCGGGCUCCGAGCCCAACUAGUGUCGGAGAGAAGUUGUUAAGCGAGCUGCCUGGGGAGUACGGUCGCAAGACUGAAACUUAAAGGAAUUGGCGGGGGAGCAC